CAGACCUCUGGCUUCUAUCUAAAUUACACUUUCUCAUCUUGUUUCGUAUUCCUUUGUGGUAAAAGUUUUGAACUUGGAUAAUUUCCCCCUGCAUAUUAAACUCCUUCAUAUCACCUGUUUAUUGUAUUCCUUUGCAUCAGAAAAAAGCUCAUGACAAGUCAUGGUUGUAUCAUGCCCACAAAUCAACAUUUUAUUCCAUCAAAGCAAUUGGGACGUAAGGUCUCCCCUCCGGUAGGGGGCAGUAGUAGGAGGAAUGUUUAGACCGGAAUAAGAAAAGGGGAUUGUGGGUAUUCUUUCUAAUAUAGGACGUUGCAAGCUGAACGUCGUUAAUCGUUGCAGGAGAAACCUACCCGGACGGUCUCAAAGCGGCGGAGCGCAGAUUACAAAAUACACUUUUGAUAAUAUUUACCACUAACGCACGACAUAAAACUUGAUAUAUAUUUUUUUGUAUCAAGACGCUUUUUGUAGCGGGGUUUAGCGUUUAUGAAGGUGUCUGGUAUUACGCUGGAGUUUGUUCCUACGCAGUCGGUCGACGCGGCCCGCACACUUUCUGAACACUUCAGCGGUUCCCGUGAAAUGUGUGUUGAGACCAUGGACUCCAACUCCACACACUGUUCGACCAAACACAAAUUCGUGUCGAAGAUGAAGUGGAAAAUGCUUCGAACGAGGACGACGGAGGACACUUUCAAGAUGUUACACAAGACCGUGAAGACCGGUCACAGAUGCGUCCAUAAGGGAAAGCCGUCGACGCCCAGACCCGCGGGACUUUGAGGAAGUUUUCGGCCUGUGAGCCGUCAUGCUAAUCAGGAACCGGACUAGCCGACGUGGUCUAACCGACGAGGCCUCGCGAGACUUGGAUGUUGCCUGUGGGCUCACUGAUGACACGUCUGUGGCAAAAGAGCUGAACCCGACACCGCCCGCAGUGUCGGGCGCACUCCCGAACAGCGCCAGCUGCCCACCGACGUCUGCCUCAAACCCGCCUCUCUCCUGGUCACCGCUUGCGUAAUGAAGGUAAACGCUACGGUAACGGAGAGCAGAUGGCAGGUACUACAAUGUCGAUACAUGUGUCCCAUUGCUAAGGUACCCAUUGUUGAGUAGACCGAUGGCAGUGUCCCAUCGCCUCGGUGGAGUGAGUGCACAUGAACAUGUAAACGUUGUCUGAGCCUUUUCCAGGUCACAGUGCCACGGACUCUGGGUUCGGCUGUGAACUGGAGCAGAAAGCGGAGAGUCUCCCUCAAAGAGAUGGACCAAGGUGACUCUUUGUAACGGGUUGUUAUGUUAUGAAGACUGGUUAACGUCCGUGUGUAAAUAAUGUACAGAAAGAUUUUUGCGUGUUGUGUUUUAGACAUUAAAAUAUUAUUUGGGAAAUAGUGUGAAUGUGUCAUGACUUUCUUAUGUCUCCAUUAAGUGACGAUACAAAGUGAUUUAUAAAAUAAAAUAUCGACUCUUGUUGUAAAAUAACGCUGUUCUUCAAAAAAAAAACGACUUCCGGGAAGGACCCUGGCAAGAUGGCGUCCUCCACCCACUGUAACGGCCUCCUGUCGUCACCAGCUGCUGCCCCAUGAACCACGAAUAGGUAAACCAGGGUUUAGGUCGGGUUUAAAUGCCACGUCUGUUCAUGAACUGUGGAGAAUGUUGCGUAAGAAUAACAAAAUAAAUGCUAUUGCACAACAUGUUUGCCUUGAAUUUGUCCAGGAAGCUUAUCGUCUUUGUGUUUAAACAUUGUGAGACAGUGUCGCCACUAUGGGGUCAGAACAGUCAUUAAUAAUGAAUGCACAGGGAUUCACAAAUGUAUUUUGUGAUUUAUCCAUACAAAUUACUCUCUUCUCUCAAAUACAUUUCACUGCACGCACAAAUGGAUAUCGGU
ensembl:lncRNA